AUUGAACGCUGGCGGCAGGCUUAACACAUGCAAGUCGAACGUGAGGCGGACGGGUUAGCAAUGCAUCGGCCUCUAGCUUAGGGAGGGGGAUAACUACGGGGAACUGUUGCCAAUAUCGUGUACAAUAGUAUGGGCCCAAGUGGGAUUAGGUAGUUAGUGGGGUAAAGGCUCACCAAGCCGACGAUCUCUAGCUGGUGUGAGAGGAUGACCAGUCACACUGGGACUGUGACACGGCCCAGACUCCUACGGUAGGAAGCAGUGGGGAAUAUUGCGCAAUGGGCGAAACCUGACGCAGCCAUGCCGCGUGAAUGAAGAAGGCCUUCGGGUUGUAAAGUUCUUUCAGUAGCGAGGCGUUAACUACAGAAGAAGCACCGGCUAACUCCGUGUCAGCAGCCGCGGUAAUUC
rnacentral:rRNA from 1 species